UACAGAGGGAGCAAGCGUUAUUCGGAAUUAUUGGGCGUAAAAAGCGCGUAGACGGCUUUGCAAGUGACGGGUGAAAGCCCCGGGCUUAACCUGGGAAUGGCAUGGGAAACUGGCGAGCUUGAGUGCGGCAGAGGGGGGUGGAAUUCCGCGUGUAGCAGUGAAAUGCGUAGAGAUGCGGAGGAACACCGAUGGCGAAGGCAGCCCCCUGGGUCGACACUGACGCUCAGGCACGAAAGCGUGGGGAGCAAACAGG
rnacentral:rRNA from 1 species